AUGCGGGGAAGGAUGAGAAGCUUCGACUAAGGUGCGGCUCGAGCGUCAGCGAGAGAGCGUUGACGCAGACAACGACCCGAAGCGCGAAGCGCGCCGCGAUGAGUAUACCUUCCCCCACCACCA
rnacentral:sRNA from 1 species